rfam:Pseudogymnoascus sp. 23342-1-I1 unplaced genomic scaffold scaffold_24, whole genome shotgun sequence.
GGCCUUAUAGUAUAAGGGUAACAUCCUUAGUUUUAAACUAAGAGGUUAUAGGUUUAACCCCUACUAGGGGCC